UCGCCACACAUCCCGGCCAAUCUCCGGCAGACCCUCCCUCCCAGACCCUCCUACUUCCUGGACAGCAUCCAUGUUGAAGGCAGCUUCAACAUGGAUGCUGUCCAGGAGGUGGGAGGGUCUGGGAGGGAGUGUCUGCCGGAGAUUGGCCGGGAUGUGUCAG
rnacentral:miRNA from 1 species